rnacentral:rRNA from 1 species
UACGUAGGGUGCAAGCGUUGUCCGGAAUUAUUGGGCGUAAAGGGCUCGUAGGCGGUCCAUCGCGUCGGGAGUGAAAAGCUGGGGCUCAACCCCAGUCCUGCUUCCGAUACGGGUGGACUAGAGGUAUGCAGGGGAGAACGGAAUUCCUGGUGUAGCGGUGAAAUGCGCAGAUAUCAGGAGGAACACCGGUGGCGAAGGCGGGUCUCUGGGCCGUAGCUGACGCUGAGGAGCGAAAGCGUGGGGAGCGAACAGG